rnacentral:lncRNA from 1 species
AGAAAUUCUGGUGCUUCUGGACUCUUCGUUCCAUUUCGAAGCCAAGCUCUCAGACGUCUGCUUCUUUCUAAAAAAACUCUAGCCCUCUGCUUCCCUAACACACCUCCCGCAAACGUCUCUAUUGUGUCUUCUGCGAUUAACACUUUUGAAACAAGAAAUUAAAUCGAUCUCCAAAAGUUCAACCCCCAAACUGGAUCCAGAUCCAUCACCAUCUCGCGGUGCCUUGCUCAGAUCGGCUCUGCACUCAUCAUCGAUGACUCUGCCUUCACGGAGGACUCCGCAAAUCCCAUCGCCGAUAAAGGUAAAGCACGGCCACCUCUCCCUUUCUUCGUUUUCAUGGCCGAAUGUCAAAUCAAGCGAAUUUGACUCAUGCAUGUGUGUAUUCUGUAAAGAUGCUUCUCAAUCUGUUGUCUGGACUAAAGAAAAUGAGGAUGGGGCUCUCGAGAAUUUCAAAUCCCAAAAAAGAGAAAGGUAUAAAUUUUGUUUAGUUUCUUUGUAUCUAUAAGAAUAAUUUUUAUUUUAGGUUACUUCAAAACUGCUGGAGUUUGGAUUUCAUAUGUUUUUUCAGGCGAUUUAUUUGUUAGAUCUUAUGGAUAUUUAGGUAUGAAUUGGCAGAAGAUUGUGCAGACGAUGAUGAAGCAAAGUAGCUGAUUUAUAAUAAGUGACUUUUUCUUUGUUCUUUAUUGUACUAUAGAUUCGAAUUUAUCAUUAUAAUUUUUUUUUUUAAUUUUUUUGUGCAGUUAUAUGGUCGGGUUUUUUGCAAAGUGUAUGAAAAUCAUUUGAAUGCUGAGAACCUAUUAUAUUCGCGAAGUCCAGGCAAUGCUGCUUUACAUGAUACAAGAGAUCGACACCUUCAUCCAUAUGUAAGUUUCUCUAAUAAAUACUUUGAACAAAUGCUUUAUGAAUUUGAGUUUUUAUCUUCUGAUUAUUUUUUAUGCAGAUGUGGUAUUAAUUUUCCUUUGACUAGAAAUUUAGAGGUUUCUUAAGGUACAAUGUUAUCAAACUAAAUUUUUCUAAUUUUCUGAUUUUGGGGUAUUGCAGGGAGUGCUAAUAUACAGAUUUUCUGGGAUUUUUUGUUUUUGAAUAGGUAUGUGUUGUUUUUAACGUUUCGGUUCUCACGUGUUUUGUUCUCUUAUCUGUUGUUUGCCUACUUUUGUGUUGCUUCUUAAUUUUCAUUUUUCAAUGUUGGGUGAUGGAAAUUUGUAAAAAUAGUUGUAGUUUUCUGAGAAAGUUGUGGAUUUUAGUUAUAUUUUCUGUGUAAUCCUAACUGUAAGACUGAAAAAUAAUUGAAAAUUGAUGGUUUUUAUUUUCACUUUCUCUUAAAUGUUUUUUCUUGAAUUUAAAAGCAUCUUUCCCGAUUGGUUACUAUGGUUCUGCUCUCUCUAAUUAGUUAUUUCAUAUUCUCUCCAACCUUUUUGUCUAAUUUUAUUUUUCAUUUUUUUGGUGGCUUUCUGCAGAAGUUAGCAUGAGGUUUUCACAUGACAUGGAUGAUGAGUAGAGAAACUCAUCUAGAGAAUGAACCUACCAAGGUAUAUGCAAAAAUUGUCCUUUGGGUUCAUAUGAAAGUAUGAAUUUUCUUUUAGCGUAUAACUUUGACGCAAUAAUUUAUCUCAUGGAUUAUAAGAUAUCUUUUGGAUUUUACCUACUUGGCAGACAACGCCUGAUGUUCCU